CCCGUAAUCCGGGUUGCGGACAGUGUCUGGUGGGUAGUUUGACUGGGGCGGUCUCCUCCUAAAGAGUAACGGAGGAGCACGAAGGUUGGCUAAUCCUGGUCGGACAUCAGGAGGUUAGUGCAAUGGCAUAAGCCAGCUUGACUGCGAGCGUGACGGCGCGAGCAGGUGCGAAAGCAGGUCAUAGUGAUCCGGUGGUUCUGAAUGGAAGGGCCAUCGCUCAACGGAUAAAAGGUACUCCGGGGAUAACAGGCUGAUACCGCCCAAGAGUUCAUAUCGACGGCGGUGUUUGGCACCUCGAUGUCGGCUCAUCACAUCCUGGGGCUGAAGUAGGUCCCAAGGGUAUGGCUGUUCGCCAUUUAAAGUGGUACGCGAGCUGGGUUUAGAACGUCGUGAGACAGUUCGGUCCCUAUCUGCCGUGGGCGCUGGAGAACUGAGGGGGGCUGCUCCUAGUACGAGAGGACCGGAGUGGACGCAUCACUGGUGUUCGGGUUGUCAUGCCAAUGGCACUGCCCGGUAGCUAAAUGCGGAAGAGAUAAGUGCUGAAAGCAUCUAAGCACGAAACUUGCCCCGAGAUGAGUUCUCCCUGAGACUUAGAGUCUCCUGAAGGAACGUUGAAGACGACGACGUUGAUAGGCCGGGUGUGUAAGCGCAGCGAUGCGUUGAGCUAACCGGUACUAAUGAACCGUGAGG
rnacentral:rRNA from 1 species